AUAUUGGUCAAUGGACGCAAGUCUGAACCAGCCAUGCCGCGUGCAGGAUGACGGCUCUAUGAGUUGUAAACUGCUUUUGUACGAGGGUAAACGCAGAUACGUGUAUCUGUCUGAAAGUAUCGUACGAAUAAGGAUCGGCUAACUCCGUGCCAGCAGCCGCGGUAAUACGGAGGAUUCAAGCGUUAUCCGGAUUUAUUGGGUUUAAAGGGUGCGUAGGCGGUUUGAUAAGUUAGAGGUGAAAUUUCGGGGCUCAACCCUGAACGUGCCUCUAAUACUGUUGAGCUAGAGAGUAGUUGCGGUAGGCGGAAUGUAUGGUGUAGCGGUGAAAUGCUUAGAGAUCAUACAGAACACCGAUUGCGAAGGCAGCUUACCAAACUAUAUCUGACGUUGAGGCACGAAAGCGUGGGGAGCAAACAGGAUUAGAUACCCUGGUAGUCCACGCAGUAAACGAUGAUAACUCGUUGUCGGCGAUACACAGUCGGUGACUAAGCGAAAGCGAUAAGUUAUCCACCUGGGGAGUACGUUCGCAAGAAUGAAACUCAAAGGAAUUGACGGGGGCCCGCACAAGCGGAGGAACAUGUGGUUUAAUUCGAUGAUACGCGAGGAACCUUACCCGGGCUUGAAAGUUAGCGACGAUUCUUGAAAGAGGAUUUCCCUUCGGGGCGCGAAACUAGGUGCUGCAUGGUUGUCGUCAGCUCGUGCCGUGAGGUGUCGGGUUAAGUCCCAUAACGAGCGCAACCCCUACCGUUAGUUGCCAUCAGGUGAAGCUGGGCACUCUGGCGGGACUGCCGGUGUAAGCCGAGAGGAAGGUGGGGAUGACGUCAAAUCAGCACGGCCCUUACGUCCGGGGCUACACACGUGUUACAAUGGUAGGUACAGAGGGCAGCUACCCAGCGAUGGGAUGCGAAUCUCGAAAGCCUAUCUCAGUUCGGAUUGGAGGCUGAAACCCGCCUCCAUGAAGUUGGAUUCGCUAGUAAUCGCGCAUCAGCCAUGGCGCGGUGAAUACGUUCCCGGGCCUUGUACACACCGCCCGUCAAGCCAUGGGAGCCGGGGGUGCCUGAAGUUCGUGACCGCAAGGAGCGACCUAGGGCAAAACUGGUGACUGGGGCUAAGUCGUAACAAGGUAGCCGUACCGGAAGGUGCGGCUG
rnacentral:rRNA from 1 species